rnacentral:rRNA from 1 species
UACGGGGGGGGCAAGCGUUGUUCGGAAUUACUGGGCGUAAAGCGUGCGUAGACGGUUAUGUAAGUCGGGUGUGAAAGCCCCGGGCUCAACCUGGGAAUUGCAUUCGAGACUGCAUAGCUAGGGUGCGGAAGAGGGAAGCGGAAUUUCCGGUGUAGCGGUGAAAUGCGUAGAUAUCGGAAGGAACACCAGUGGCGAAAGCGGCUCCCUGGUCCAGCACCGACGUUCAGGCACGAAAGCGUGGGAAGCAAACAGG